rfam:Aggregatibacter actinomycetemcomitans D11S-1, complete genome.
GUCACAUCCGAAUUAGUUCCUUGCUUCCACAAGAUUGGUGACUGGUCUUACGUUGGAGGCUGAUUAACCCGUAAGGAGCAGUAAUG